AACCCAUGUUGAGGACAUUUUCGUAGGAGUUCCUUGAACCUUUCUCAUGUCUCGAAUAAGGACUCCAAUUCUAUUUGCAUAAAGGACGAGAUCUCAUUCCUAAGCUU